rnacentral:rRNA from 1 species
GACGAACGCUGGCGGCGUGCUUAACACAUGCAAGUCGAGCGGUAAGGCCCUUUCGGGGGUACACGAGCGGCGAACGGGUGAGUAACACGUGGGUGACCUGCCCUCAGCUCUGGGAUAAGCCUGGGAAACCGGGUCUAAUACUGGAUAUGACUCCAUGACGCAUGUUGUGGGGUGGAAAGCCUUGUGCGGCUGAGGAUGGGCCCGCGGCCUAUCAGCUUGUUGGUGGGGUGANGGCCUACCAAGGCGACGACGGGUAGCCGGCCUGAGAGGGCGACCGGCCACACUGGGACUGAGACACGGCCCAGACUCCUACGGGAGGCAGCAGUGGGGAAUCUUGCGCAAUGGGCGAAAGCCUGACGCAGCGACGCCGCGUGAGGGAUGACGGCCUCGGUUGUAACGUACUUC